rnacentral:rRNA from 1 species
UACGUAGGUGGCAAGCGUUAUCCGGAAUUACUGGGCGUAAAGCGCACGCAGGCGGUCUUUUAAGUUUGACGUGAAAGCUCCCGGCUUAACUGGGAGAGGUCGUUGAAGACUGGAAGACUUGAGGCAAUGAGAGGGGUGUAGAAUUCCCGGUGUAGUGGUGGAAUGCGUAGAUAUCGGGGGGAAUACCAGUGGCGUAAGCGAUCACCUGGGCUAGGCCUGACGCUGAGGGACGAAGGCGUGGGGAGCAAACGGG